rfam:Felis catus isolate Cinnamon breed Abyssinian chromosome D3, whole genome shotgun sequence.
GCCUGGGUGGCUCAGUCGGUUAAGCGUCUGACUUCAGCUAAGGUCAUGAUCUCACAGUUCAUGGGUUGGAGUCCCAUAUCGGGCU